CUCCUUGGUGUAAUGGGAAUAAAACAGGAAAAACUUUGGAGGGUUGUGAGAAUCCAUGUAAGCAACUCAGUCUGAUUUUUGGCUCACAGUCUCUGAGUCCUAAAAGUUGGCUGGGAAAACACUAACUAUGAAAUUAUUCAUGACAGCUAACAUUUCUGCUGCAUUUUGUAUGGCAUUUUCACCACACUGUAUUGUAUUUGAUUCUUGUAACAUCUCGUGAAGUGAGCUGGGAAGGUACUGAUACCCCACUGGAUAGAUCCGAAAUCCUAACUUCUAAGAGAUUUACUGACUUGUUGUUCAAGUUCACACAGAGAUCCCUCUCCAUUUGGGGCUUGAGAAGCUGAUCUACAAAUCCCUUCAUAUGCAAAAGAUGGACAAACGCUCCAAAAGAAGGUCUGAAUGGUAAUGGAGGUAGAACAAAAAUGGAAAUUUCUGGAUCUGUCAUCCAAAUAAAUAUUAGAAGCAAAAUGGCCAUUAUUAAACAGCCGAAAAAACUUCCCCCAAACAGGAUUGACAACAGCAAGCAUUCUGAAAGGGUCCUGAAUAAGAACGUGGCCGGCUUACUAAGGAUGAAGCAGUGUGCUCCCUCUGCCCUUACCUGAUUUCACACCACCAAUGAAUGAAUAUUCAUUUCUUCAUUUGUAGACAGACUCAAGCUCUGAAGAACCUCCCUGCCCAGCCCCCUAGACAAUAAGGACUCCAGACUCACAGCACUGUACCUGGCUCCCCAGCCACUGUGACCACUGCUAGUUUUAUGCAAAGACAGAGGCGCAAAGCCAACUGACAAUAAAAUGCUUGCUGUGAAAGAAUUCUGUGUAAAGAAUUUCUUCAUCAAGAGAGUGAUUUUAAUUUGACCAAAACUUUGCAGAUGACAAAAUGGGACUGAAAAUCUGUAGGCUUUGAAGCAGGAAGCCCAGAGUUCGAAUCCUGAUUUCAUAACUCCCAAAAUUGUGAAAUCUUGACCAAGUUUAGAGUUGUUUCCUGCAACAUAGGGAUAAGGAUA